GCCUCCGAGGGGUGCUGCAGCGGGACUGGACACCGGUCUCCCGUCAGGCUCGGAGCCGCAACCGUUUCAACGGCACCCAUUCAUU
rnacentral:ncRNA from 2 species